AUCCUCAUUGACGGAAGGGAUUCCUUCCGGUCAAUGAGGUAUAACAUCCUCAUCAGCUGGAAGGGAUUCCUUCUGUCAAUGAGGGU
rnacentral:miRNA from 1 species